GCCACAUGAUGUUCUCAUUGGGGAAGUGAGCGCUUCGCGCGCAGUGCUGACCUUGAUCUAUCACCCUUGACUGAUGGCU
ensembl:snoRNA SNORD83 Small nucleolar RNA SNORD83